rnacentral:rRNA from 1 species
GCUUUCCUACGGGGCGCAGCAGUGGGGAAUAUUGCACAAUGGGCGCCCGCCUGAUGCAGCGACGCCGCGUGCGGGAUGGAGGCCUUCGGGUUGUAAACCGCUUUUGUUCAAGGGCAAGGCACGGUCUUUGGCCGUGUUGAGUGGAUUGUUCGAAUAAGCACCGGCUAACUACGUGCCAGCAGCCGCGGUAAUACGUAGUGUGCAAGCGUUAUCCGGCUUUAUUGGGCGUAAAGGGCUCGUAUGCGGUUCGUCGCGUCCGGUGUGAAAGUCCAUCGCUUAACGGUGGAUCCGCGCCGGGGAC